rnacentral:rRNA from 1 species
CGAACGCUGGCGGCGUGCUUACCACAUGCAAGUCGAACGGCAAGGCCCUGCUUUUGUGGGGUGCUCGAGUGGCGAACGGGUGAGUAACACGUGAGUAACCUGCCCUUGACUUUGGGAUAACUUCAGGAAACUGGGGCUAAUACCGGAUAGGAGCUCCUGCUGCAUGGUGGGGGUUGGAAAGUUUCGGCGGUUGGGGAUGGACUCGCGGCUUAUCAGCUUGUUGGUGGGGUAGUGGCUUACCAAGGCUUUGACGGGUAGCCGGCCUGAGAGGGUGACCGGCCACAUUGGGACUGAGAUACGGCCCAGACUCCUACGGGAGGCAGCAAUGGGGAAUAUUGCACAAUGGGCGGAAGCCUGAUGCAGCAACGCCGCGUGCGGGAUGACGGCCUUCGGGUUGUAAACCGCUUUCGCCUGUGACGAAGCGUGAGUGACGGUAAUGGGUAAAGAAGCACCGGCUAACUACGUG